UGGGGAAUAUUGGACAAUGGGCGCAAGCCUGAUCCAGCCAUGCCGCGUGAGUGAUGAAGGCCUUAGGGUUGUAAAGCUCUUUCAACGGUGAAGAUAAUGACGGUAACCGUAGAAGAGGCCCCGGCUAACUUCGUGCCAGCAGCCGCGGUAAUACGAAGGGGGCGUAGCGUUGUUCGGAAUUACUGGGCGUAAAGCGCACGUAGGCGGACAUUUAAGUCAGGGUGAAAUCCCGGAGCUCAACUCCGGAACUGCCUUUGAUACUGGGUGUCUUGAGUAUGGAAGAGGUUAGUGGAAUUGCGAGUGUAGAGGUGAAAUUCGUAGAUAUUCGCAGGAACACCAGUGGCGAAGGCGGCUAACUGGUCCAUAACUGACGCUGAGGUGCGAAAGCGUGGGGAGCAAACAGGAUUAGAUACCC
rnacentral:rRNA from 1 species